CCAGUUCAUACACUUUGAAAGUGAGACUGCGGAAGGCUCAGUAAAUCAGUUAUAAUCUAUUCGAAAGUCAACCCAUUGGAUAACCGUGGGAAAUCUAGAGCUAAUACAUGUACCAAAGGCAGCCGGUAGCAAUACCGGUUGUUUGCAUUUAUUAGACAAAACCAAAUGUUGGGAGGUUGUUCGCAGCCUCUCAAUAGGGUGAUUCUAGAUAACUGAGCAGAUCGCAUGGCCUCGUGCCGGCGACGUUUCGAUUGAAUUUCUGCCCUAUCAACUUGAUGGUAAGGUAGUGGCUUACCAUGGUUGCAACGGGUAACGGGGAAUCAGGGUUCGAUUCCGGAGAGGGAGCCUGAGAAACGGCUACCACAUCCAAGGAUGGCAGCAGGCGCGUAAAUUACCCAAUCCAGACAAUGGGAGGUGGUGACCAGAAGUACUGAGUGGUAGACAUUGUCUACUAAUCUCGGAAUGAGCAUAAAGUAAAAAGUUAGUCGAGUAACGACUGGAGGGCAAGUCUGGUGCCAGCAGCCGCGGUAAUUCCAGCUCCAGUAGCAUGUCGUAAAGUUGUUGCGUUUAAAACGCUCGUAGUUGGAUCAUACGGUACCGGCCAGUUAAUUUGCGUGGGGCAGACAUUCAAUCCCACGCUUUGAGUUCCCUCCGGUUAGUUCUGGAGGGGCUUUUGGUGUGGGAGUUUGUCCCUGUAGAUUACCAGCUGGCCGGUACUACUUGCGCGCAAGAAUGGUGGUUGGCCUUAAGUGCGUCGGCCACUGUGUCUUGCGGAGUGUGCCUUGAAUAAAUCAGAGUGCUUAAAGCAGGCGCGUGCCUGAAUGAUACAGCAUGGAACGAACAAACGUGUUAGUUGCAUGUCAGGUGGUUGUUUCAGCUAUCUGGCGUGCACAUCACCAGCCGCCAUGUACGGAUGUUGGUUUCCGUAUUGGGGUGAUGAUUAAAACGAGCGGUUGGGGGCAUUGGUAUUUGGCCACGAGAGGUGAAAUUCUUAGACUGGCCAAGGACUAACAAAAGCGAAGGCAUUUGCCAAGACCGUUUCGAUUGAUCAAGAACGAUAGUGGGAGGUUCGAAGACGAUCAGAUACCGUCCUAGUUCCCACAGUAAACUAUGCCGACCCGGGAUCAGUUUAGAGCUAUUGUCAACGCUCCAGGUUGGUCCCCCUGGGAAACCUUAAGUGUUUGGGUUACGGGGGGAGUAUGGUCGCAAGGCUGAAACUUAAAGGAAUUGACGGAAGGGCACCACCAGGGGUGGAGCCUGCGGCUUAAUUUGACUCAACACGGGAAAACUCACCGGUUCCGGACGUCAAUAGGAUAGACAGACUGAUAGAUCUUUCUUGAUAUGAUGUGUGGUGGUGCAUGGCCGUUCUUAGUUCGUGAAGUGAUUUGUCAGGUUAAUUCCGGUAACGAACAAGACCAAAAUCUCCAUUUACGGUGCAGAAUAGGCGACCGCAAGGUCGACUCUAGUUGCGAGCACUGGCUAAAGGCACCCGCCCGAGGCUGGUGCUUGGAACUUUUCUUCUGUAACGCCGUGCACAGCAAUGUGUAAGGCUGCAUGGAGAGACAACUGACUUUCAAAUCAGAGGAAGUUUGGCAAUAACAGGUCUGUGAUGCCCUUAGACGUACCGGGCUGCACGCGCGCUACAAUGAUGAUGACAACGAGAUAUCUGGGCCGAAAGGCUUGGGAAAUCUGCCAAUCAUCAUCGUGAUGGGGAUUGUCCAUUGUAAUUUGGACAUGAAAUAGGAAUCCCUUGUACGUGCACUUCAUCUAAAGUGCGUGGAAUGAGUCCCUGCCCUUUGUACACACCGCCCGUCGCUACUACCGAGUGAAUUAUGUCAUGAUGCGUUGGGACCGGACGCCGUUCGGGCUAACCCCUGAAUGGCGCUGGGAUCAAUGUAAAAUGGCGCA
rnacentral:rRNA from 1 species